GGGCAGGUUAAGGCUUCUAACCACCUGACUUUAAACAGAGUAGCCUGGGUUACCCAGGUGGAGUCACUGUAUCAUAAGAGCCUUUAAAAGUGGAGGAGGGGGUCGGAACAGAAGCAGGAGAGGGGGUUGCGCCUGGGGAAGGUGCUCAGAGCGAGUCUGCGUAUUUGGCUUUGGCCAUGUAGGGAGACGGCUGUGAGUCACGGAAGAUGGGCAGCCUUUGGAAGCUGGUAAAAGCAAGGAAACCUCCUCCUCUGGGACUUGCAGGAGCAACAUAGCCUGUUGACAUCUUGACUUUAGUCUAACGAGACGUGAGACGUGCGUUAAAGACCUACAGACAGGAAAGGAAUCCACAAAUCCCACCUGAGCCUCUUGAUACCUUCCCAUCCUUGAAGAGAGGCUCUUAUCAACCUGAAGAUUUGACCCAUGUUACUGGAGGAAGGAGAUGGAGCAUGGUGAGUCACAAGCAUCUGGACUUUCUGACACUAUAUUUUUUGUCCUUGAGCGUUCAAGAGCCUCUUUCAAAUCAUAGCAUCAUAAAGUUUCCUCCCAGCUAAUUUUCUGAGAAAUUUAAUUUUCCAUAAGUUGGUUAUCUGAGCAUAAUAGACAGAGGCUAAAGGCACAGACAUAUAAAUAGAUGGCCCAUAUAUUACAGAUUGUUUACCUAUAAACACAUAUUUUAUCUGAUCUGUAAGUCUUAUUUCUAGACACACACAAAUUUCAUAGUUCAUAGGAUAAAUACGAUCUUUUAAGUAACAGUGAUCUCAGUAUAGAAUAAAUACAAUAUUGAUAAAUGAGAUAUAUAUUAA
rnacentral:lncRNA from 1 species